GAGAACCUGAAUUUUUUUUCUGAUAAUGGACAUAGCGAGUACCAACCGGUUUAAGAAGAAGGUUUGUGAUGGUUGCAGUGAAGCUAUGCCAACUGGGAAAAAGCGGAAGAAUGAAAGGACGUUAAUGAACAAAGAUGUGAAUGCCAAAAGAUUGAAGAAAGAUGUGAAAAGGUGAGUUCUCAAAGGUUAGAGUGGAGUGAGGAAGACGAGAUCCGUGUGCUACAAGGUAUGAUGGAUUUCAAAGCUGUAACAGUACAAAAUCUUUCUAAUGAUAUGAACGU